UUCCGUAGGGUGAACCUGCGGAGGGAUCAUUACACAAAUAUGAAGGCGGGCUGGAACCUCUCGGGGUUACAGCCUUGCUGAAUUAUUCACCCUUGUCUUUUGCGUACUUCUUGUUUCCUUGGUGGGUUCGCCCACCACUAGGACAAACAUAAACCUUUUGUAAUUGCAAUCAGCGUCAGUAACAAAUUAAUAAUUACAACUUUCAACAACGGAUCUCUUGGUUCUGGCAUCGAUGAAGAACGCAGCGAAAUGCGAUAAGUAGUGUGAAUUGCAGAAUUCAGUGAAUCAUCGAAUCUUUGAACGCACAUUGCGCCCUUUGGUAUUCCAAAGGGCAUGCCUGUUCGAGCGUCAUUUGUACCCUCAAGCUUUGCUUGGUGUUGGGCGUCUUGUCUCUAGCUUUGCUGGAGACUCGCCUUAAAGUAAUUGGCAGCCGGCCUACUGGUUUCGGAGCGCAGCACAAGUCGCACUCUCUAUCAGCAAAGGUCUAGCAUCCAUUAAGCCUUUUUUUCAACUUUUGACCUCGGAUCAGGUAGGGAUACCCGCUGAACUUAAGCAUAUCAAUAAGCCGGAGGA
rnacentral:rRNA from 1 species